CCUUCGAUAGCUCAGUUGGUAGAGCGGUGGACUGUAGUUGAAUGCAGAAGUGUAAAUAGAAAUCCAUAGGUCGCUGGUUCAAAUCCGGCUCGAAGGA
rnacentral:tRNA from 1 species